GGUUAGAUGGCCGAGCGGUCUAAGGCGCCACGUUAAGGUCUCAUAACCCCUUAAAACAACUAACAGACUUCUGUGAUCUCCGUGGUCCGAAAGGGCGUGGGUUCGAAUCCCACUCUAAUCA